UUUUAUAUUCUAAUAUUUGCUACACUAACAAUACUCAAAACAUUGUAAUUCUUAAAUACAACUUAUUUCAUUAUGUCAUUAAAAAGUUAAUCAUGAAGUCUGCAAAAACCGUAUAUUAAAAUAUAAAAGAUAAACACUUACUCGACUAUUAACAGUUAUUUGAUAACUGUCUCGUUAUCCAUUAAUCUAUGUUUCUUUUCUUCACUUUUCGGAAACAUAAAAACUGAUACUUUAGGCGCUAUUUCUAGUUCCCUUUACAUUUUGGAACUACACAUGCAUAUGGCAUUGUUGAAAGUUGUAAAAUAAUGCUAUAUGUAUUUUUGAUAGUGGUUUGUAACGACAUAUCCGACAAGCAAACGGGACUGCUGUUGACAAAUAUUUGAAAUUGGCGGCUAAUCGCUUAUCAGCUAUACACCACUGUUUGUGACGUCAUUAAAAGACCUUGGUGAUCUCAACACCCUUAUUUUUUGGUGGCUAUGGUCAUAUAUGCUGAAAUGCACAGAGUACUUAGUGAUUGCUUCUGACAAGCUGAAGACCAUGCUGCUUAGUGUGAAUGCAAUUUACAUAUUAUUUCUUCUUCAUCUCUUUUGUAUAUUGUUUCAUUUCUUAAAAGGAACUGAUUCUGUUCAUUCCAGUUUUAACAAUUCAGUCCCUAGGUACAACACAAUAAAAUUAAAAAAAUAUGGCAUGUAAAAGUGUUUACAGUUAGUUGUUCAGAUUAACUUAUCAUACCAUUAAGUAGAAUACAAUUAAAAGUUCGAUACAUCAUCUUAAUUUUUAAUACUAGUCAAUUAGGAAAGAAUAGAAAUUAAAAAAAUAAUAAUUUACUUUUCAAUAAAAAUUUUCCUCUUAUUUUCUAGCUCCCACAAAUCUCACUAUAAUGCUAGAUACUAUAUGCUAACUGUUAGUGGCUAAGGAAAGGACUAUGUCAGGUUAUUUUUGUUAGUCGCUAGUUGAUGGUCGAGCUAUGCUGUUUGUGCCAUAGUACAAUGCUCUCCCCUAUAUUUUGAAAACUGGAAGCAUGUUAAGUUUAAUAGAACAGAUCUUCAAUUUCUCGUGCUACCCUUCAAAUUUUUAAUCAAAGGGUUCUGAAAUAGCUGAUGAGCUCUUCAAACAUUUUUCAUAUGUUUUGAUACAUCAAAUUUCUUCUAUGAAAAUUUUCAUUUUGUUCUAACUCUCUUGUCUAAUAUUCAGAAGAACUUAAUUUGUUAAAGACUUUAAUUUUUCUUAUGUAAAAUAAUGUAUAUAAAUGUUUUGUAUCAAUCAUUCAAUUUUUUUAGUGCUUCAGAUGUAGAAUCAGAAAAGGUUGUUCAAGAAGCUUUAGAUUAUGCUGUUAAAGGUCAUACUGUGCUAGUGAUAGCUCAUUGUUUGAGUACAAUCCAAAAUAUAGAUUUCAUUGCUGUAGUAAAAAGAGGCCAAAUAGUUGAGAUUGGAAAUCAUAGUAGUUUGUCAAAAAAAAGGUCUUUAUUGGAAUUUGGUGAAGCAACAAUAUAAAGAAGAAGUGUGAUUUAAAUCAAAGUUUUUAUGAUCGCUCCACAAGACUUACGCAUUUUCGCUAGCAUUGACUGGUCGACGGGAUAAUCCCUACGCAAAAGGCCUCGAAGCUUUUGAAACAAUGAAGAACUUUCUGCAUUCACAUGAAAGUGAAUCUAUUUAAAAUCUUGUAAAAAUAAUUGCUUGUGUUGAGAGUGUUUGAACAGCUAAGAUUUUCGAAUUAUUUAACUAUCUAAAUGAAUGCUUUUAUUCAUCUUUCUAUUGUUUAUAUGUUGUAUUGCAAAUGUUUUUACAGUAAAUACAUAAAUUUUUUAAUUGAAUUUUUUUUCUUAUUGUAAAUUUAUUAAUUUGUUUUCAAAUUCAUUACUUGAAAUUUUAUGUUGACCCUCCUUUGUUGUUUUCUCCUAUUUUUUCAUUCACAAUGAAAACUACAACAAUCAAGAUCAAGGGUCAACUAUAAUUACUAUUAGUUAGAAUGCACUCUUGAUAUCAGAUUUGUAACUGCCAAAAAAUAUUGGUGAAAUUAUUUUUUCAUAUUGCUGGAAACACUUUUUAUACUUCAAUUUUCCUCUAGAGAUUUUAAAUCACUUAAAAAUAUUUUUUACUUUAAUGCAUAUCUCCAUUUUGAAGUAACAUGCCUUCUCACUUAGACUGUUCACUUCCAUUUAACUGUCAUGACUUAGACGCUAGUUGCCAUAACUCUCGUUAUGUCUGAAUGAAUGCUAUGUUCUACCUAUCCAGCACAGUUAUUUAUUUUUUGGGGCUAUUCAUGAAAUUUUUUGAGCACAUUUUGUAAACCAGGUCAGUUUGGUCAGUAAAGAACCCAUUGAAAUUUAAAACACUUUGAUAUUUUGUCAAAAAGGUUGCAUUUCUUGUAUGAUAUGAUUAAAAAUCUGGUUUAUUUAUAAUCAAACUAUUGAUGUUGUGCUGUUGAUUUUUUUUUUAAUAUAUAUUUAAAGAGCUGUUUUAAAAAUUUGUUUAAAUAUUUUAAUUACCAAUG